GAGAAAGACAUAGUGGCUAUGGUGUNNNCUUGAAACCAAUUUCAGGGGGUUCGAAUCCUUCCUUUCUUA
rnacentral:tRNA from 1 species